UUGAUGAUACAAAAUGGCGUCGGUUAAAAAAACAAUGCCGGUAUUUUUGCCUUAAAGUAAACAAUUGCAGUAAAGUUCAAUAAGUAAAUAAUAAUUCCUUCAAUUCUGAAAUUCUCGAACGGCGUAAAUUAUGGAUAAAACGGGACUCUUCUUUCUAAAGAUACAUACACAAAAAAUUAAAUUUACAUGCACCAGAAAGAUAAGACAGUAUGUGUCAUCAACUAUAUUUGGGCAAUAAACCAGUAUACAUAUUUUAUAUGAACAA